AAAAACGUAUACCUCAUCCUACACUAAAAAGGACAAGUUUUAGGUCUGGAUGGUCGCGGUUCUACCGCGGUCGUGCUCGGACCGCGGCCAGAAUGGCCUACAGAAUCUGCAACAGUCUUGUGCACUGUCCGACUGUGGUUACAAUUUUGACUGCAUUUUUCAUCCUGUUCCGCUUGGAAUUUGGACAAAUGUAAAACAUGCAAGUUGUAGUCCUUUGAGUUAUCUUUCCAACCAUAUAUUGUAAAACACAAAUGGAUUUCAGCGGAAAAGGUUAUGUCCAAUUUACUAGACAGUACGUAAUAUGGC
rnacentral:lncRNA from 1 species